rnacentral:rRNA from 1 species
UGGGGAAUAUUGCACAAUGGGGGAAACCCUGAUGCAGCCAUGCCGCGUGUGUGAAGAAGGCCUUCGGGUUGUAAAGCACUUUCAGCGAGGAGGAAAGGUUGAUGCCUAAUACGUAUCAACUGUGACGUUACUCGCAGAAGAAGCACCGGCUAACUCCGUGCCAGCAGCCGCGGUAAUACGGAGGGUGCAAGCGUUAAUCGGAAUUACUGGGCGUAAAGCGCACGCAGGCGGUUUGUUAAGUCAGAUGUGAAAUCCCCGGGCUCAACCUGGGAACUGCAUUUGAAACUGGCAAGCUUGAGUCUUGUAGAGGGGGGUAGAAUUCCAGGUGUAGCGGUGAAAUGCGUAGAGAUCUGGAGGAAUACCGGUGGCGAAGGCGGCCCCCUGGACAAAGACUGACGCUCAGGUGCGAAAGCGUGGGGAGCAAACA